rnacentral:rRNA from 1 species
GAUGAACGCUGGCGGCGUGCCUAAUACAUGCAAGUCGAGCGAACAGACGAGGAGCUUGCUCCUCUGACGUUAGCGGCGGACGGGUGAGUAACACGUGGAUAACCUACCUAUAAGACUGGGAUAACUUCGGGAAACCGGAGCUAAUACCGGAUAAUAUAUUGAACCGCAUGGUUCAAUAGUGAAAGACGGUUUUGCUGUCACUUAUAGAUGGAUCCGCGCCGCAUUAGCUAGUUGGUAAGGUAACGGCUUACCAAGGCAACGAUGCGUAGCCGACCUGAGAGGGUGGUCGGCCACACUGGAACGGAGCCACGGUCCAGACUCCUACGGGAGGCAGCAGUAGGGAAUCUUCCGCAAUGGGCGAAAGCUUGACGGAGCAACGCCGCGUGAGUGAUGAAGGUCUUCGGAUCGUAAAACUCUGUUAUUAGGGAAGAACAAAUGUGUAAGUAACUAUGCACGUCUUGACGGUACCUAAUCAGAAAGCCACGGCUAACUACGUG